AUUGAACGCUGGCGGAAUGCUUUACACAUGCAAGUCGAACGGCAGCACGGGGGCAACCCUGGUGGCGAGUGGCGAACGGGUGAGUAAUGUAUCGGAACGUGCCCAGUCGUGGGGGAUAACGUAGUGAAAAUUACGCUAAUACCGCAUACGAUCUAUGGAUGAAAGCGGGGGAUCGCAAGACCUCGCGCGAUUGGAGUGGCCGAUAUCAGAUUAGGUAGUUGGUGGGGUAAAGGCUCACCAAGCCGACGAUCUGUAGCUGGUCUGAGAGGACGACCGGCCACACUGGAACUGAGACACGGUCCAGACUCCUACGGGAGGCAGCAGUGGGGAAUUUUGGACAAGGGGCGAAAGCCUGAUCCAGCCAUUCCGCGUGCAGGAUGAAGGCCUUCGGGUUGUAAACUGCUUUUGUACGGAACGAAACGGCGAGCUCUAAUACAGUUUGCUAAUGACGGUACCGUAAGAAUAAGCACCGGCUAACUACGUGCCAGCCGCCGCCGUAAGAC
rnacentral:rRNA from 1 species